GCCCACCGGGGGCCAAAAUCAAAAGCAAAAGAAGAAAUAGACACAAAGGUAACAAGAAAAGAAUUCCUUGUCAAUUUCAUGCAAAUCUGUCACAAGAAUUGAUUUUUAGCAGCCAAUCAUGCACCUAAUCUCCACAAUCUCUAUACCACUAGCUAGAUAACAUUUCUAGAUUGUGGAACGUGGAACACAACCUGCCCCAACAAAAUUAAAUGGCUAUGAAAAAGAAGGAAGAAGUGAAACAGAAAGAAACAUUCUUGAUCAAUAAAAUUAGCAGAAUCAUGAUUGCCAAGGCCAGAAAAAAGCAAGUUGCAGCCUAAUUAUGUACCCUUAACAAGCACAAAAUGAUGAUGUUUCUAAUGCCAUAUAAAUGAGCAAUAACUUGUUGAUGUUAGUAAACCAUAUGCUUCUUUUUAGCAGGAGUAAGACGACGUGUUUCUAACUCUUCUUAAACCCUAAUCCAUUGAUUUUUCCUACGUUUCUGACUUCUAACUCAAGGAAGAAGGAUGGUCUUUCUUUCAUUCAUUCAAGAAUUGGCAUUAGAGGGAGCCUCAAAUCAACUUUCACGAAUUCACAUGACUUUCACUGUUUGGGCUCCUAAUAAAGAUAUUUGUGAGGGAAAGGCACUAACUUGGGAGGCAACUAUAAAGGAAGCACAACUAGUUAAGACAGAUGAAAAUUGUUAGAAAUUCUAUCAUCACUGCAAUUCCUUUUGUAGGGCUGAGCAGUGCAGAAACAAACCAUUUCAUUUCCUUCCAACCCAAAAUAACCACUUCUUUCACAUUCUUUGCAACUAUUUCCACUCCAUGUCAACUGGUGCAGCAACAUGAGACUGACAAGGCAUUACACUAGAGUUGAUCUCAAUUUUUCCAUCUUCUAUAACAGCAUAAGAGUGGUACGGAGUAUCGGAAGCACAAAAUGAUGGGGUGCUGCCUAUAUUCAACUCAACAGGAAAGGAGCUGUUUCAAUCGUUAAACAAGCAGAGAUUGGCAAAAUUGUGGCCAAAUUUGACUGAAGACCGAUCAAAAGCAAAAAGUUCCCGGGGAGCAAUACAUGCAGCAUUCAGAACUUCAGCAUUCACCAACCGGAUGGAUUGGUUUUGGUAGGUGGCACUCAAGAACGUACUCACUUCGAGAUGUUAAAUAAACAGGUUUGUUUCCUUUUCAGGAUAACUCAAACCCUGGAUAACCACAACAAUCUGGAUAAUUUUCUUCUAUGAUCUGGACAGUGUAGCUUAUCUGUGGACCAUUUUCACAAUUUCUAGACUUGCAGGCUUUGUAUCUCCUGCCCACUGGUUCAACUGACUCUACCAAGAUAAUGUGCACCAUAAUAGACAUGACUCUAACACGAAAGACAGUGCUGAUUCUUAGCAAGCUGAGCUGAGCCAUUACUAGAGUGGAAAGGGUCUGUACCAUAUGAUAUCUAAGACGUAUAUAAUAACAUCUGAGCUAAAUUCAAAAUAAUUCAAGUCA